UACAGAGGUCCCAAGCGUUUGUUCGGAUUCACUGGGCGUAAAGGGCGCGUAGGCGGUCCGCUAAGUUCGGUGUGAAAGCCCCCGGCUCAACUGGGGAAGGGCGCCGGAUACUGGCGGACUAGAGUACCGGAGAGGAGGGUGGAAUUCCUGGUGUAGCGGUGAAAUGCGUAGAUAUCAGGAGGAACACCGGUGGCGAAGGCGGCCCUCUGGACGGAUACUGACGCUGAGGCGCGAAAGCGUGGGGAUCAAACAGG
rnacentral:rRNA from 1 species